AGCGCGGCGCGAAUGCUGGCCGGGAUUACAUCUUUCCCGAUGCGUAUCAUCCCGGCUAUGAAUUUGUCGCGCAACGCU
rnacentral:Y_RNA from 25 species